AACGAACGCUGGCGGCGCGUCUUAAGCAUGCAAGUCGAACGGCAAGAGAGGAGCUUGCUUCUCUCCUAGAGUGGCGGACUGGUGAGGAACACGUGGGUAAUCUACCCUUAAGAUGGGGAUAGCUGCUAGAAAUAGCAGAUAAUACCGAAUACACUCGGCAUUUCACAAGAGGUGUUGAGGAAAGGAAGCUACGGCUUCGCUUGAGGAUGAGCUUGCGUCCCAUUAGCUAGUUGGUGAGGUAAAGGCCCACCAAGGCGACGAUGGGUAUCCGGCCUGAGAGGGUGAACGGACACAUUGGGACUGAGAUACGGCCCAAACUCCUACGGGAGGCAGCAGCUAAGAAUAUUCCGCAAUGGACGGAAGUCUGACGGAGCGACGCCGCGUGGAUGAAGAAGGCUGAAAAGUUGUAAAAUCCUUUUGUUGAUGAAGAAUAAGGGGAAGAGGGAAUGCUUCUCUGAUGACGGUAAUCGGCGAAUAAGCCCCGGCUAAUUACGUGCCAGCAGCCGCGGUAACACGUAAGGGGCGAGCGUUGUUCGGAAUUAUUGGGCGUAAAGGGCAUGUAGGCGGUUAUGUAAGCCUGAUGUGAAAUCCUGGGGCUUAACCCUAGAAUAGCAUUGGGUACUGUGUAACUUGAAUUACGGAAGGGAAACUGGAAUUCCAAGUGUAGGGGUGGAAUCUGUAGAUAUUUGGAAGAACACCGGUGGCGAAGGCGGGUUUCUGGCCGAUAAUUGACGCUGAGAUGCGAAAGUGUGGGGAUCGAACAGG
rnacentral:rRNA from 1 species